AUUGAACGCUGGCGUCAGGCUUAACACAUGCAAGUCGAGCGAGCGGCGGACGGGUGAGUAAUGUCUGGGAAACUGCAUGAUGGAGGGGGAUAACUACUGGAAACGGUAGCUAAUACCGCAUACCAUCAGCUGUGCCCAGAUGGGAGUAGCUAGUAGGUGGGUUAAUGGCUCACCUAGGCGACGAUCCCUAGCUGGUCUGAGAGGAUGACCAGCCACAAUGGAACUGAGACACGGUCCAGACGCCUACGGGAGGCAGCAGUGGGGAAUAUUGAACAAUGGGCGAAAGCCUGAUGCAGCCAUGCCGCGUGUGUGAAGAGGGCCUUCGGGUUGUAAAGCACUUUCAGCGAGGAGGCGGUACUCGCAGAAGAAGCACCGGCGAACUCCGUGCCAGCAGCCGCGGUAAUUC
rnacentral:rRNA from 1 species